rnacentral:tRNA from 1 species
UUCUUAAUAAUUUAAUAAAAAUAUCUACUUUGGAUGUAGAAAACUCUAAAAAUAAUAAU